rnacentral:rRNA from 1 species
AGAUCUACGGGAGCCAGCAGUGGGGAAUCUUAGACAAUGGGGGCAACCCUGAUCUAGCCAUGCCGCGUGAGUGAUGAAGGCCUUAGGGUUGUAAAGCUCUUUCAGCUGGGAAGAUAAUGACGGCACCAGCAGAAGAAGCCCCGGCUAACUCCGUGCCAGCAGCCGCGGUAA